rnacentral:lncRNA from 1 species
GCCCCAGCUGGCAGUGGCAAUCCUCUCCGGUCCCCUUCCGGGCUGUGGGAGCUUUGUUCUUUUGCUCUUUGCAAUAAAUCUUGCUGCUGCUCGCUCUUUGGGUCCACAUUGCCUUUGUGAGCUGUAACACUCACGGCGAAGGUCUGCAGCUUCACUCCUAAAGCCAGAGAGACCACAAACCCACCGGGAGGAACGAACAACUCCAGACGCGCGGCCUUAAGAGCUGUAACACUCACCGCGAAAGUCUGCAGCUUCACUCCUAAAGCCAGCGAGACCACGAACCCACCAGGAGGAACGAACAAUUCCAGAUGCGCCGCCUUAGGAGCUGUAACACUCACCGCGAAGAUCUGCAGCUUCACUCCUGAGCCGGCGAGACCACGAACCCCACCAGAAGGAAGAAACUCCGGACACGCCGCCUUUAAGAACUAUAACACUCACGGCGAGGGUCCACGGCUUCAUUCUUGAAGUCAGUGAAACCAAGAACCCACCAAUUCCGGACACAGCAGGAUCCCACCCACAGAACCGCCAGGUGCACAGCUGCAUAUCCUCAGGGGAAAACUCCCCUCCCCUGCCACCUUACUGAUAGGCUUCACUUCCCAGAGAACUUUCCCAAUCCUGUGCAAUGCCUGAGUGGUACAUUGUAUUCUAUGAGAAUGGCGCCCCCGCCUCCAGAGUUGUGCAACAAGACUUCCAUGAAUCAAAGCCCAUCGCUGGCUGCCUCCUCUAGCCCUGCAUAGCCCAGGUACAUCUGAAAGGAGUGAGAAGUGUUUUGAGGGCUCUCCCUGUCUCUUCCUGCACCUCUCUCUUGUGAUCCCAGAAGCUACAACCUCAGCCCAGAUUAGCAGGCUGAGGGGUCAGGAGGCUGUCACUGGAGCUGUUGAGCUCAUGAACACGCCGAAGUUGCUGCGCUCCAGAAAUGUGGAAGUUGGAAUGAAGAGCCACCACUGCUGCCACCAACAUGAAGCUUGACCAAGCAAGCCAAGAAAAGAUGGCCAAGAGCCUCUGCCUUCCUUCUGCCUUCUGCAACGCAAUGGACAAUGAACAGGCGGGCUGCUGCCAGAAUUUACCGAAGAUGGCCGCUGUGCUGGGCUCGGAGUGAGCUGACGGUGUCUCAG